CAGGGCUUGACAUCCCUCUGCCCGGCAUAGAGAUAUGCCUUUCCCUUUGGGGACAGAGUGACAGGUGGUGCAUGGUUGUUGUCAGCUUGUGUUGUGAGAUGUUGGGUUCAGUCCCGCAACGAGCGCAACCCUUGUCUUUAGUUGCCAGCAGGUGAAGCUGGGCACUUUAGAGAGACAGCCGGUGAAAGCCGGAGGAAGGUGGGGACGAUGUCAAAUCAUCAUGCCCCUUAUGUCCUGGGUUACACACGUGUUACAAUGGCUGGUACAACGGGUUGGGAAGCCGGGAGGUGGAGCCAUUCCCUAAAACCCNUUUUCAGUUCGGAUGGUAUNNUGCAAUUGGCNUANGGAAGCNGGAAUNGUUNGUANUCG
rnacentral:rRNA from 1 species